AUUGAACGCUGGCGGCAUGCCUUACACAUGCAAGUCGAACGGCAGGCACGGGAGCAAUCCUGGUGGCGAGUGGCGAACGGUGAGUAAUAUAUCGGAACGUGCCCAGUCGUGGGGGAUAACGUAGCGAAAGCUACGCUAAUACCGCAUACGAUCUAUGGAUGAAAGCGGGGGAUCGCAAGACCUCGCGCGAUUGGAGCGGCCGAUAUCAGAUUAGGUAGUUGGUGAGGUAAAGGCUCACCAAGCCGACGAUCUGUAGCUGGUCUGAGAGGACGACCAGCCACACUGGGACUGAGACACGGUCCAGACUCCUACGGGAGGCAGCAGUGGGGAAUUUUGGACAAUGGACGCAAGUCUGAUCCAGCCAUUCCGCGUGCAGGAUGAAGGCCCUCGGGUUGUAAACUGCUUUGUACGGAACGAAAAGGUUUGUCUUAAUACGAUGAGCUCAUGACGGUACCGUAAGAAUAAGCACCGGCUAACUACGUG
rnacentral:rRNA from 1 species